rnacentral:tRNA from 1 species
CGGGGCGUAGCGUAGUGGUAGCGCACUCGCUUGGGGUGCGAGAGGUCGUGGGUUCAAUCCCCACCGCCCCGA